rnacentral:rRNA from 1 species
GACGAACGCUGGCGGCGUGCUUAACACAUGCAAGUCGAACGGAAAGGCCCUGCUUGCAGGGUACUCGAGUGGCGAACGGGUGAGUAACACGUGGGUGAUCUGCCCUGCACUUCGGGAUAAGCCUGGGAAACUGGGUCUAAUACCGGAUAGGAGCCAUUUUUAGUGUGAUGGUUGGAAAGUUUUUUCGGUGUAGGAUGAGCUCGCGGCCUAGCAGCUUGUUGGUGGGGUAAUGGCCUACCAAGGCGGCGACGGGUAGCCGGCCUGAGAGGGUGGACGGCCACAUUGGGACUGAGAUGCGGCCCAGGCUCCUACGGGAGGCAGCUGGGCGGAAUAUUGAACAAUGGGCGCAAGCCUGGUGCAGCAGCGCCGCGUGGGGGAUGACGGCCUUCUGGUUGUAGACUCCUUGCGCUAGGGACGAAGCUUUUUGUGACGGUACCUAGAUAAGAAGCACCGGCUAACUACGUG